UCCUGGUUAGCUCAGUUGGUAGAGCGCUCCACUUGUAAUGGAGAGGUCCCGGGUUCGAUACCUGGACCAGGCG
rnacentral:tRNA from 1 species